rnacentral:rRNA from 1 species
GGGACGAACGCUGGCGGCGUGCUUAACACAUGCAAGUCAAGGGGGCCCGGUAGCAAUACUGGACAACCGGCGAACGGGUGCGUAACACGUGAGCAACCUACCGAAAUGUGGGGGAUAGCCGGUCUAACGGCCGAGUAAUACCGCAUACGCUCUCGAUGAGGCAUUUCAUUGAGAGGAAACCUACGGGACAUUUCGAGGGGCUCGCGGCCUAUCAGCUAGUUGGAGAGGUAACGGCUCACCAAGGGCAACGACGGGUA